CACGUAGGCGGCUUUGCAAGUGGGUGUUGAAAGCCCCCGGCCCAACCGGGGAAUUGGCAUCCAAACUGCAGGGCUUGAGUGUCGGAGAGGUGAGUAGAAUUCCUGGUGGAGCGGUGAAAUGCGUAGAUAUCAGGAGGAAUGCCAGAGGCGAAAGCGACUCACUGGCCGAACACUGACGCUGAGUUGCGAAAGCUAGGGUAGCGAACAGGAUUAGAUACCCUGGUAGUCC
rnacentral:rRNA from 1 species